CCUACGGGAGGCAGCAGUGGGGAAUAUUGGGCAAUGGGCGCAAGCCUGACCCAGCAACGCCGCGUGAAGGAAGAAGGCUUUCGGGUUGUAAACUUCUUUUCUGAGGGACGAAGAAAGUGACGGUACCUCAGGAAUAAGCCACGGCUAACUACGUGCCAGCAGCCGCGGUAAUACGUAGGUGGCAAGCGUUAUCCGGAUUUAUUGGGUGUAAAGGGCGUGUAGGCGGGAAAGCAAGUCAGAUGUGAAAACUCAGGGCUCAACCCUGAGCCUGCAUUUGAAACUGUUUUUCUUGAGUGCUGGAGAGGCAAUCGGAAUUCCGUGUGUAGCGGUGAAAUGCGUAGAUAUACGGAGGAACACCAGUGGCGAAGGCGGAUUGCUGGACAGUAACUGACGCUGAUGCUCGAAAGUGUGGGUAUCAAACAGGAUUAGAUACCCUUGUAGUC
rnacentral:rRNA from 1 species